CUUCUCGAACUGAGGCAUCUGAAAGCGGAACAGGAGACGACAUCACUGGAGUGACAUGAUUCGAAGUGAUUGCAUCGUGCCUGACCACGCCUCGAUUUCAUAUACGACGUUAGCGACAGGACCAGGAGCAUGCUGAAGAGCGACUGAACAUCCGCCUGGUCCUGUAAUAGAGCCGACAGUGAGCUCUCCGAAGGCAAAACCCAAACGACAGAACAUGGUGUGCAUCUUUCUUCUACCUGCUGUUUGAUAUGAAUCUGGGAGAGACGCUGGAGCUUGGUCGAGUGCUCGGGAACAUCUGGAAGACAUACACUGUUACUAUUUACAUUCUGACAAAUAAGACGACAACAAAACGGGGUUACCUCGGAUGUAGGUGCUCUCCAGCAGCGGCUGCAAAUUGCUGGCCUGCUCCAGCAAAGCAGCCUGGGAAAUCAGGAAGUCCUCCUCUGUAGGCCACAUGAUAGUAAGUUAAAAUAUCCAUGUCAAGAUAAUUCAGCAUUUGUAUUUUUGCAUUUCUCACCGGCGAGAAUAAACUCCAGCUUCAUGGUGUCAGGCACAGCGAUGUGGUCGGUGAACUGAGGGUCCAGGUACUUCAUCAGGUCCUCAACUGCGCAAAUAUAAAAAUUCAUUAGAAGCUGAAGCUAAUCUGAUUUUAAUAAAGGCUGUGUGACUCAC